rnacentral:lncRNA from 1 species
GAAAUCCAUAUUUUAGAAUUUUAGCUGUAUAAAAGUUUAAACAGAUCACCAGCACUUGUGUUAUUAGCUGGCACAACACCAUUUACUUUAUCCUUUUUAGUUAUUAGUUUGAACUUUGAAACAGAUAAAAAGUUAGAAUAUAUUUUCGUUUUUAUAUAUAGUAUUAGAUAUCAAUUUAAUAAAAUUAAAAAAAAAAAAAAAAAUCGUGUAUCGAAAUUUCUUACAGACUAGUGAGGGGUUUGACUUAUGAUUAGAAUCCAAAGAGAAGUUAAUACAGAAGAAGACGAAGUCAUAAUUAAAAUUGACGAGCAGCUUUUUUGGUUAGUCACGUCAUGUGAAGACGAAGGCGAGAUGAUGAAGAAGAAGAAGAGGAAGAGGUAAUGGAGAGAUCAUUAAUGAGGAGAGGGUCACACGAUACAGUUCACUGAAUCUCUCUAUGUAACCCCACAAACCCUCACGCAUAUCAUAGCUUCUGCAUGCAAACAAGCCUCGAUCCAUUAACCACAGACUUGUCCGUCUCCUCCUCCUCCUCCUCCUUCUUCUUCUUUUUUCUCAUACACACACA